GAAUUUUCUUCCUCUUUUCCCUUAUCUCAAAACCUAUCCAAUAACGUCUCAACACUCUUUGAACUUCAUAAAUCUCUCCAAGGUUAAGGUUGAAACAAUAUUGGGCAGCAUAUACAUAUUUGUGUGCAAGUAACCCUAAAGAUUCACCGAGUUCAUAAUGGGUCGGAUAUGAUAUAUGAUAUGAUCAUGCAUGAUUUUAUUUCAUAAGGCACAGGUACAGUGAUUUCUUAAGUAGCAUACUUGUCUCCUGAAUCU